AUCAGUUGGUAAGUGUAUCCAUCAAAAACUUUCUUAGUGUAACCCAUUUGUCCAAUUCGCCCUUUUGAAUAUAUUUAUUCAUCAAACUGGGGAAUCAAGAUGUUCAACUGCUUGAGUGACUAUAUAGGAAUCAAAACACUUCGGGGAACUUAGAAAUACACUAUCUCGGGACCGGAAUGUUACUAAUAUGCCCUAAAUUAGAGUGUUUAAUUAUAUACCUGUAUCAUUUUCCUAAGUUUCUCUCCGUUGUUAAAUGUUUAGAACAUCUUAAGCUACGAAUUGGUUAAUAGGGAUAAUCUCGACCAUAAAUUAUAGUUAUUUUUUUAAAACAGUUGAUUUUGGCCUUAAAACCAAGACAUCAAGGAUAUUUAUUCGUUUGAAAAUUUUGUCAAUACAAAAGUGAGUCACCAACCGUGUCUACUUCU